rnacentral:rRNA from 1 species
AAAUAGUACCUGAAACCGUAUGCCUACAAGCAGUGGGAGGGCGUUGGCCGGGGUUAAACCCGGUGCUGCCUGACCGCGUGCCUUUUGCAUAAUGAGCCGGCUAGUUUUUCUCAGUGGCGAGGUCAAGCGUUAAGCGAGCCGCAGCGAAAGCGAGUCCGAAUAGGGCGAUUCAGUCGCUGGGAAAAGACGCGAAGCGAGGUGAUCUACCCAUGGCCAGGGUGAAAGUCGGGUAACACCGACCGGAGGCCCGAACCAGUGUUGGUUGAAAACAACUUGGAUGAGCUGUGGGUAGGAGUGAAAGGCCAAUCAAACCUCGUGAUUGCCCGUUCUCCUCGAAAUAGCUUUAGGGCUAGCCUUGCGGGUUAGCUUCCGGAGGUAAAGUACUGGAUGGACUAGGGCCUUUACCCAGGUACCGAAUCCAACCAAACUCUGAAUGCCGGAAAGCCGGACCGCAGGAGUCAGACAGUGGGGGCUAAGCUUCAUUGUCGAGAGGGAAACAGCCCAGACCGCCAGCUAAGGUCCCGAAGUUCAGGCUCAGUGGUAAAGGAUGUGGAUCCGCUAAAACAACCAGGAGGUUGGCUUAGAAGCAGCCAUCCUUUAAAGAAAGCGUAAUAGCUCACUGGUCUAGUGGGUCUGCGCCGAUAAUUCAACGGGGCUCAAGCCUGAUACCGAAGCUGCGGACUCACGAGAGGUUCGCCUCUCGUGAUUGGUAGAGGAGCAUUCCAUGUUCGUUGAAGUCCGACCGACAAGGACGGGUGGAGGACAUGGAAGAGACCCUGCCGGCACAAGUAGCGAGAAAACGCGCGAGAACCGCGUUCGCCGAAAGCCUAAGGUUUCCUGAGGAAGGUCAAUCCGCUCAGGGUUAGUCGGUCCUAAGGCCAGGCCGAAAGGCGUAGCCGAUGGAAAACGGGUCAACAUUCCCGUACUGCCGCAAGGCGAUAAAGACCGAUGAGGUGACGCAGAAGAGUAAGCCAGCCCCCUGAUGGAUGGGGGUUUAAGGGUGUAGGAAGGCUCCGCAGGAAAAUCCACGGGGCCGUGUUUCCGAGACCUGAUGACGAGAGCUUCGGCUCACAAAGUGGCCCACCUCACGCUGCCAAGAAAAGCCUCUAAGGAGUCUUGUGGUGACCGUACCGCAAACCGACACAGGUAGGCGAGGAGAAUAUCCUAAGGCGCUAGUGAGAACCCUCGUUUAGGAACUCGGCAAAAUGACCCCGUAACUUCGGGAGAAGGGGUGCCUCCACCGGUGAUGAGAUUCACUUUCUGAGCUGGAGGAGGUCGCAGAGAAACGGCCCAAGCGACUGUUUACUAAAAACACAGGGCUCUGCAAAGUCACAAAAACGACGUAUAGGGCCUGACGCCUGCCCGGUGCCGGAAGGUUAAAGAGAGGGGUUAGCCGCAAGGCAAAGCUCUGAACUGAAGCCCCGGUAAACGGCGGCCGUAACUAUAACGGUCCUAAGGUAGCGAAAUUCCUUGUCGGGUAAGUUCCGACC